rnacentral:rRNA from 1 species
UCCGUAGGUGGACAGAUAAGUCAGAGGUGAAAUCCUGCAGCUCAACUGUAGAACUGCCUUUGAUACUGUUUGUCUUGAGUUAUUGUGAAGUGGUUAGAAUGUGUAGUGUAGCGGUGAAAUGCAUAGAUAUUACACAGAAUACCGAUUGCGAAGGCAGAUCACUAACAAUUAACUGACACUGAUGGACGAAAGCGUGGGUAGCGAACAGGAUUAGAUACCCUGGUAGUCCACGCCGUAAACGAUGGUCACUAGCUGUUCGGAUUUCGGUCUGAGUGGCUAAGCGAAAGUGAUAAGUGACCCACCUGGGGAGUACGUUCGCAAGAAUGAAACUCAAAGGAAUUGACGGGGGCCCGCACAAGCGGUGGAGCAUGUGGUUUAAUUCGAUGA